ACUAUAAUAGUUUAUUUAGAAUGUUAGCUUGUGGAGCUAGAGGAGUUGAUUAUUACUUUUAGUA
rnacentral:tRNA from 1 species